rnacentral:rRNA from 1 species
CAUGUGUAGCGGUGAAAUGCGUAGAUAUAUGGAGGANCACCGGUGGCGAAAGCGGCUCUCUGGUCUGUAACUGACGCUGAGGCUCGAAAGCGUGGGGAGCGAACAGGAUUAGAUACCCUGGUAGUNCACGCCGUAAACGAUGAGUGCUAGGUGUUAGGCCCUUUCCGGGGCUUAGUGCCGCAGCUAACGCAUUAAGCACUCCGCCUGGGGAGUACGACCGCAAGGUUGAAACUCGAAGGAAUUGACGGGGGCCCGCACAAGCGGUGGAGCAUGUGGUUUAAUUCGAAGCAACGCGAAGAACCUUACCAGGUCUUGACAUCCCGAUGCCCGCUCUAGAGAUAGAGUUUUACUUCGGUACAUCGGUGACAGGUGGUGCAUGGUUGUCGUCAGCUCGUGUCGUGAGAUGUUGGGUUAAGUCCCGCAACGAGCGCAACCCUUAUUGUUAGUUGCCAUCAUUCAGUUGGGCACUCUAGCGAGACUGCCGGUAAUAAACCGGAGGAAGGUGGGGAUGACGUCAAAUCAUCAUGCCCCUUAUGACCUGGGCUACACACGUGCUACAAUGGCUGGUACAACGAGUCGCAAGUCGGUGACGGCAAGCUAAUCUCUUAAAGCCAGUCUCAGUUCGGAUUGUAGGCUGCAACUCGCCUACAUGAAGUCGGAAUCGCUAGUAAUCGCGGAUCAGCACGCCGCGGUGGAUACGUUCCCGGGCCUUGUACACACCGCCCGUCACACCACGAGAGUUUGUAACACCCGAAGUCGGUGAGGUAACCUUUUAGGAGCCAGCCG